UUUAUCUUGUUAUAAUGUGGUUCUGGUAUUGUUAUGCCAGAUUAAAAAGGAACCGUGUGCAAAUCACGGGCUGUCGCGCAACUGUAAUUUAUAUUGAUUUCGAUCAAUUAUAAUAAGUCAGGAUACUUGCCUCAUUAUUCGGAUCAAU
rnacentral:ncRNA from 2 species